rnacentral:lncRNA from 1 species
CCUGAGCUGGAGCAGCCCUGUGCUGGAGGGACCCUGAGCUGGAGCAGCCCUGUGCUGGAGGGACCCUGAGCUGGAGCAGCCCUGUGCUGGAGGGACCCUGAGCUGGAGCAGCCCUGUGCUGGAGGGACCCUGAGCUGGAGCAGCCCUGUGCUGGAGGGACCCUGAGCUGGAGCAGCCCUGUGCUGGAGGGACCCUGAGCUGGAGCAGCCCUGUGCUGGAGGGACCCUGAGCUGGAGCAGCCCUGUGCUGGAGGGACCCUGAGCUGGAGCAGCCCUGUGCUGGAGGGACCCUGAGCUGGAGCAGCCCUGUGCUGGAGGGACCCUGAGCUGGAGCAGCCUUGUGCUGGAGAGACCCCGAGCUGGAACAGCCCCGAGCUGGA